UGUGUGACAGAGGUUCCUAGCAGAACACUUGAAAAGGUAAGCUAAUCAAAAUGAAGACACUGUUAGUUCUCGUCUUCAAGACAGCCUUCUUAAAGAUAGUUCACAAUUACAAGACUCAACCAUUGUCGACAAUUUUAUUUUUCUAUUUUAUGCAGGGCCAGGCUUGGACUAUUAUGAAUGUUGCUGAACACUGUUAAUCAAGCUUACACAGCUAUUUUGAUGGCAAACAAUUAGAACUCUGCAGCUCUACCUUGCAAUUAGCUUCAGGGAUAUGGACCUCAGCACCAUAAUAAUGAAAGAGACCUCCUUCAAGCACGACUUCCAAGCAUUGCUGUUACCAAAUUUCAUCAGCCAACUAUCUGCUGUGGCCUGUCAAACAGAAUCCACGUGCAUGAUCUGGAUUUUGGAGGGGACUUGACAUUUCAGUAAAUUAGAAAGUAGAGGGUGCUGGUGCCUUUCACAAGAUGUAAAACGCUUCACUUGGUACUAAUGUACGUAAAGCAAUUAGUUACUUGUCAUGCUGGGCGUUCCCCAAGGCAGUACACUUUCUCCAUUAGUAUUUAUAUCUACAUGCCAUUAUACAUUGGGUAGCACUAAAUAGAUGAGAUAGGUUCAGAGAAUUACUCAAGUCUUGUGCCAUCAAGAAAAGAGAUAUUAGCAAACAUUAUUAGCAUACAGGUGGAGUUGGAUCACUUAGUUUCCAGUGAGAUAUUUAUUUUUAAAUGCUUGCUGAGAAUGCAACCAUUUAAAACUGAUUAAUUAACCCUUAGAGAAGUUAUUUCUUUAUUGAUCGGUAAAUAUUUUUGGCUAGUGAACAUGAUCGUGACAGUUUUGUUAGAAGUCAUCUCCUCUCCCUACCCUUCUUUGAAUAUACGGCCUUCUCAGCUUGAAAAUUCUAAGCCUUCUUGUUUUGGGGGAAAUACUACAUUUAUGAAGAGAAACUCAAUUAAGGGAUCUUAAAAAUAAAGCCAAUCAUGUCCCGUCA
rnacentral:lncRNA from 1 species